AUGCGCCUCGCCUAUCUCCUCCUGGCUGCCUUCCUGAGGCAACCACAGGGCACCAUGGGGCAGGUCACUGUCACCCAGCAAGGACAAGUCACAGUGAAGCAGAAAGAAACCUUCCGCACCAUCUGCACUUACCAGGCACCUAACUUUGAUGCAUUGUCGUGGUACCAGCAGAAGAAAGGCCAAGCUCCCCAGCUGCUCUCGUACCAGGCAGCAGCUGGCCCCAAGCACAGCGGCCAUCUGACCACGCUGCUGAACACCACGGGGAAAUACAGCCUGCUGCAGCUGGAGGAAGUGGAGGUCUCUGACAGUGCCUUGUACCUCUGUGCUGUGAGAGACACCCUGGUGCAGGAGCUUGCUUGGCUGUGCAAGAAGCUGUGUGAGGGGCAGGAGAGCCCUGGCACGGUACGAACCCCCUACGCCAGCGUCGGGUUCAUACUUUUGCCCGUCGAUCGCUGCACAGACCUGGGAAUACCCAAUCGACGCACUCCGGCCUCACCCGUUCCUCCUUCCUCCAGCAGCCGUAGACCCUGA